UACGUAGGGUGCAAGCGUUGUCCGGAAUUAUUGGGCGUAAAGGGUGCGUAGGCGGCGCGGUAAGUCGGGUGUGAAAUCUCGGAGCUUAACUCCGAAACUGCAUUCGAUACUGCCGUGCUUGAGGACUGGAGAGGAGACUGGAAUUUACGGUGUAGCGGUGAAAUGCGUAGAUAUCGUAAGGAAGACCAGUGGCGAAGGCGGGUCUCUGGACAGUCCCUGACGCUGAGGCACGAAGGUCAGGGGAGCAAACGGG
rnacentral:rRNA from 1 species